CUGACGUUAGCGGCGGACGGGUGAGUAACACGUGGAUAACCUACCUAUAAGACUGGGAUAACUUCGGGAAACCGGAGCUAAUACCGGAUAAUAUAUUGAACCGCAUGGUUCAAUAGUGAAAGACGGUUUUGCUGUCACUUAUAGAUGGAUCCGCGCCGCAUUAGCUAGUUGGUAAGGUAACGGCUUACCAAGGCGACGAUGCGUAGCCGACCUGAGAGGGUGAUCGGCCACACUGGAACUGAGACACGGUCCAGACUCCUACGGGAGGCAGCAGUAGGGAAUCUUCCGCAAUGGGCGAAAGCCUGACGGAGCAACGCCGCGUGAGUGAUGAAGGUCUUCGGAUCGUAAAACUCUGUUAUUAGGGAAGAACAAAUGUGUAAGUAACUAUGCACGUCUUGACGGUACCUAAUCAGAAAGCCACGGCUAACUACGUGCCAGCAGCCGCGGUAAUACGUAGGUGGCAAGCGUUAUCCGGAAUUAUUGGGCGUAAAGCGCGCGUAGGCGGUUUUUUAAGUCUGAUGUGAAAGCCCACGGCUCAACCGUGGAGGGUCAUUGGAAACUGGAAAACUUGAGUGCAGAAGAGGAAAGUGGAAUUCCAUGUGUAGCGGUGAAAUGCGCAGAGAUAUGGAGGGACACCAGUGGCGAAGGCGACUUUCUGGUCUGUAACUGACGCUGAUGUGCGAAAGCGUGGGGAUCAAACAGGAUUAGAUACCCUGGUAGUCCACGCCGUAAACGAUGAGUGCUAAGUGUUAGGGGGUUUCCGCCCCUUAGUGCUGCAGCUAACGCAUUAAGCACUC
rnacentral:rRNA from 1 species